rnacentral:rRNA from 1 species
UGGCGGACGGGUGAGUAACGCGUGAGAAUCUGCCUUCUGGUCGGGGACAACCAUUGGAAACGAUGGCUAAUACCGGAUGAGCCUACGGGUAAAAGAUUUAUUGCCAGAAGAGGAGCUCGCGUCUGAUUAGCUAGUUGGUGGGGUAAAGGCCUACCAAGGCGACGAUCCUUAGCUGGUCUGAGAGGAUGAUCAGCCACACUGGGACUGAGACACGGCCCAG